UGCAGAGAGUUGUGGUAGAGUCUUUUGGGUAGAUGUUUAAAUUAAGAAGUUUCCCUUAAAAAAAAGUGAUUUGUGCAGCACCCAGAACAAUGGGGUUCUUUUUCCAUUCCUGGAGGACCAAAAUCAAAAUAUUUUAACCGCAGUCACCAUGGCUGCAGAAAGCAUUCAAGCAGGACAACAAUACAGGAUCUUUGUAUUUUGACCGUGGUGCAGAAGGGGAUGCUGAACAUGCUGCCUCAUUACUCUGGAGUUGGCUGACUACGUCCUACGGGCUGAGACUGAAGAAGCCAUCAGGAGUGUCAGGCUAUGCCACUGAUUUCUUAUCGACCUGCUUGAUAUGCGCUCACAUUUCCAUGCAUCUUCCCCUCCUGCACUCCAUAAAACGCAACAUGAAAUGUCUCCUCUCAAUUGAGAUGCUCUGUUUUAUUUGGGCUGAGAAAUCCACUUAAACCUUUUUAAUUUGUCUUGUUUGGAUAUGGGUAUAAUUUUGGUUGUGUUUUAUGGGCGCCCGGUUCAUUUUACUUCCUGUAAAUCGUCCCUUUAGUUACUAGGGCUUCUGGGAAGUUGUAAAUUCUCCCUCCUAUUUUCUCUGUAGAGUUUACGUUGUUUUACAGUUUCAUUAAUAGGUUCUCUUCCAGCUAGGUUGAUGAAAGUUAUUGACCUAAUCAUAACCUAUUAAUUAUGACAGUAAAUUCCACUCUUGGAAAUGUUUUACUGAGCAAAUGUUACUUGGAAAAUCUGCAGGUUAAACUGGAGAUCUAAGAACUUUAAAUCUGCUUUUCAGUGCCCCAGUCACGGAGCCACGAGUCCUCCUUCAGUGAAGCUUGUACACUGCUGCUGGCUUGGGACUAAGGGGAACCCCAAAACACCUCCACCCCAUCGAUUGCAAAUGAGGAGAAGGACUGCUGUGGCAUUCAACUUCAUAAAAAAAUGUAAAAAGGGAAAAAAAAAUUAAAAGGAAUUUCAGGAAAACAUGCAGGGAGGUUUCCUUAAGUCUGGCUCUACACAUUUGGGUAUAGAGUGGAAAUUGGAUGCAUUUGAAUUUCUUCUCAUGGCUGCUAGAAGGAGAGAAGCAUGAGCAAUAGGCAAUGUAGUGACUUGCUCUCCAUGGCUGCCAGCCCAUCAGAUGCAGGGACACACUCCCAGUAUUUUCUAC